UUUGUAAUUGAUAAAUAUUGGGAGUCUCAAAUACUUUGAGACUAUGCAAAUGCCAUGUUUCUCAAACUUAUACCCAUUAGUUUAACAGCUAUCAGGUGAACUGUCUGCAGCAACUAUGACUGCAGUGUUCUUGGGGUGAUUUUCUAUUUCCCCCACUUCUAUUUAUUCAUUGGAAUUCUUCUGGUAAGGAAGAACUGUCCUUUCACCCCAUCAAAUAAUCAGUUUAUUCAACUUUUAUUUUUAUCAACACAGACUCAUGGAUAGUUAUUUUAUUCUUUGAGUUAUAACCCAAUAUAUCCUUGCUUAUCUUAUUGAUCCAGCUUUGGCCAAUAAGAGUUUUUUCAGGUUGGUUCCUGUACUCUGCAUAUUCCCAUUGUUGUUGUUGUUCAGUACUUUCUUACUUUGUAGCACCAGAAGAUGCUCCAGGCUCAUCUUGUAAUUUUCCUACCCAGUCCUGGAGCCUAUGUUUUCAAGGAGUCCUGGCUCCUUUUAUUAAAUAAUAGCAUUUACAGACCAAGAUCAGGGAACCUGAUGUGCUCACUGCUACUGGGAUGUCACUGCUUUUAGGCCAUCUCAGUAGACAGAGCUAGGAAACAUAUGUAUGUAUAUUUAUCCAUGAAUACACACCUAUAUUUCCAUAUCUAUCAGUGUAUAUGUGUGAGAGUGUGUAUAUGUGUUUGUAUAUGUAUAUGUAUAUGUAUAUGUAUAAACAUGAGUUAAUACUGAUACCGCUGACUCUAAUCAAACACCAUGGAUUCACUCCAUCAUUCUGCUUUGCUUAUUAGUAACUCUUUCUCAGACAGACACCUGGGUCUUAUUAUCAAUAAUAUAUUUGCUUAUUUGUUCAUUCCUAGUAUAUAUGUAAAAUAGUUUUAGAUGGUUAACACAUACCCCGGUGAAGGACAAAUUUAUCAUGUCGAGUACAGUGUCUGUGUACAGUUCUUUUUUUUGUCUUUAGCCUUAUAGGAUUCCAAAGUUAUUUAGGUCAGCUCCCUUCUUCCUCAUCCUCUUCAAUGAGUUUGUUAUACAUGUGCAAUGCACUUAGAUUCAUUUGUCAUAUUCUACAUUACAUCUUGGGUUCCUCAGUAUCCUGACUGAUUUUGUUCUUAAUUUGCACACAGCAAAAUUUACACUUUAUGGUGUACAGAUCUAUGGGUUUGACAAAUACAUCGAGUUUUGUAGCCACCAGCACAGUACCAUAUAAAGCAUUUCCAUCAGCCACAAAGUUACCUCAUACUGCUCCCUUGCAGUCAACCCCAACCCAAAACCCCAACCCCUGGCAAUGCAUUUUCCAUAGCUAUAGUUUUGCCUUUUCUAAAGUAUCCUAUGGAAUAGUAAAACAUGAACUUUUUGGGUCUGGAUUCUCUCACUUAGCAAAACAGAUUUAAGAUUCAUCCAUGAUGUUGCAUGAAUCAAUACUUGUUCCUUUUUACAGAUGAAUAGUGUUCAAUUUUAUGGGUAUAUCACUUCUGUUCGCCUGUGAAGAACAUCUCAGUUGUGUCCAGUUUGGGUGUUUACGUGUAGAGCUGUUAUAAAUAUUCAUGUAUGGGUUUCUAAGUGAAAACACAAGUUUUCAAUGACUUGAGUAAACACCAAGGAGUGGUAUUGUUGGGUCCUAUAAUAAGUAUAUCUUUAAUUUUAUAAGAAACUGCCAAACUGCUUCCCAAAGUGGUUGUACCAUUCUGCAUUCUUAACAAGAACACGAAAGAGUUCCAGUGGCUCUGCAUCCUUGCCCGCAUGCACAUAGUGUUGUCAGGUUUGCUUUUUCUUAAUUGUAGCUAUUCCAGUUGAUAUGUAUGAUAGUUCAUUGUGGUUUUAACUUUUAUUUCCCUAAUUACAAAUAACGUUGAGUGUGUCUUCAUAUGCUUAUUUGCCAUCAUAUGCUUUCUUUUGUAAAACAUAUGUUCAAAUAUUUUGCCCAUUUUUUAUAGAGUUGUUUACUUUCUUGCUGAAGUUUGAAAGGUCUUUAUAUAUUCCAGAUUCAAGUCCUUCAUUACAUAUGUGAUUGCAAAUAUUUUCUCACAAUCUGUGGCUUGUCUUUUUAUUCAUUUAACAUUGUCUUUCACAGAGCAAAAUUUUUAUUUCAUUAGAGUUCAAUUCAUUAAUGUUUCUUUUAUUGACUGUGCCUUUAAUGUUGUAUCUAAAAACUCUUUGCCAAACCAAAGGUCAUAAAUAUUUUCUCCUAUGAUUUUUUCCUAGAUGUGUUGUAGUUUUAUCUUUUACAUUUAGAUCUAUGAUCUUUUUCUCAGUUGUUUUUUAAGGUGUCAGGUAUGUGUUGAGGUUCAUUUUCUUGCAUAUAGAUAUCCAAUUGUUCCAACACCAUUUGCUGAAAAGACUAUCAUUUCUUCACCCUUGUCAAAAAUGAGUUGAUUAUAUUUGUGUGGGUCUAGUUCUGGGCUCUCAAUUCUCUUCCACUGAUUUUUGUAUCUAUCAUUUUGUCAACACUACACUUUCUUAUUAUAACUUUGUAACAAGUCUCAAAAUUGGGUACUGUCUGAGUCCUCCAACUUUGUUCUUUUUCAGAUUUGUUUUAAUGGGGACAAACUGACAUCUUAGCAAUAUUGAGUCUUCCAAUCCAUGAAUACAGUAUGCAUCUCUAUUUAUUUUACUGUUCUUUAAUUGCUUUCACCAGGAUCUUCUAGAUUUUAGCAUACAUAUCCUGAAUAUUAUUUCUGUUAGAUUUAUACCUAAGAAUUUGUGGGGUUUGGUGCUAUUGUAAAGGCAAUUGCUCUCUAAGUUUCAAAGUCCGUAUGUUCAUUGCUAGCAUGAAGAAAUAUAAUUGACUUUGUAUCUUGCAACUUUACUAAACUCACUUAUUGUCCUAGAAACUUUUUAAUGAUCCUUCGGGUUUUUCUACAAAGACAAUAAAGUUACACGUGAAAAGACAUUGUUUCCUUUCUUCCUUUUAAAUCUUUAUGCCUUUAUUUUUUUUUUUCUUGCCUUAUUGUACUAUCUAGGACUUUCCAUAUGAAGUCAGAUAGAAGUCAUAAGAGAGAACAUCUUGCAUUGUUUUUUAUAUUAAGGGGAAAGUGUUUAAUUUUUCACCAGUAAAUGUAUUUUUAGCUGUAGCCUUUUGUAGAUGUGCUUUAUGAGGUUAAGAAAGUUGCCUUCUAUUCAUAGUUUGCAGAUAGUUUUAAUCAUGAAUAGAUGAUUAAUUUUAAAGUGCCUUUUGUCAAUCUAUUGAGAUGAUCGUGGUCUUUCUUUUCUUUAGUUCUGUAAAUAUAUUUAAUUUCAUUGGUUGAUUUUCCUGUGUUGAACUAGCCUUGCAUUUUUGUUUUGUUUUGUUUUUUGUUUGUUUGUUUUUGGAAGGCUUUUAACUAUAACUUCAAUUUCCCUAGAAGAUAUGGGACUAUUCAAGAUAUAUAGUUCUUCUUGAAUGAACUUGAGUAUGUCUAUCUUUCAAGGAAUUGGUUCAUUUCACCUAAGUUGUCAAAUUUAUGGGCAUAGAGUUGUUUGUUGCACUACCUUAUUAUUCUUUUAAUGUCUGUAGGGUCAGGAGUAAUGUCCCUUCUUUCAUUUCUGAUAUUGAUAAUUUGUAUCUUCUUUUUUCUUGGUCAGUCUGCCUAGAAGUUCACUAAUUUUGCUGAUUUUUCAAAGAACCAGCUUUUGGUUUGAUUGAUAUAUCCAAAUUGCUUUUUUGUUUCAAAUGCAUUGAUUUUUGCUCUUCUUAUUUUCUUCCUUCUGCUUGCUUCAGUUUUAAUUUGUUUUUCUUUAUCUAGUUUUUUUCUUUUUAGGGUAGAGACUUACCUUACUGAUUGAAGACCUUUCCUCUUUUGUAGUGUAAGCAUUUAACUCUAUAAAUUUCCAUCUAUACACUACUUUAGCUUCAUUUCCCAAAUUGUGAUAUGUUGUAGUUCUUUUUCUUUCAGUUCAAAAUGCUUUUUUAAUUGUCUUAAGACUUCCUCUGACAUAUGGUUUAUUUAGAUGUGUGUUGUUUUAUCUCCAUACAUUUGAAGAUUUUCCACUUAUCUUUAUAUUAUUGAUUUCUGGCUUAAUUCCAUUAUAGUUCAUCACUAUGCUUUCUAUGGUUUCUAGUCUUUUCAGGUUGUUAAGUUUACUUUAUGGUCCAGAAUAUAGUAUCAUUUGGAGAAUGUUUCAUAUGCACUUUAGAAAGAAGUGUUGUUGUGUAAAGUAUUCUAUAAAUAUCAACUGGGUCAAGUUGGUUGGUAAUUGCUCAAGUCA
rnacentral:lncRNA from 1 species